ensembl:lncRNA
UCAGUAAGCCUCACCAAACUGCCACAUCCUGUCUUUCCUUCCUUCUCCCUCUCCCUUGUGCCUCUCCACCACUGAUUCCUCUCUCUCUCUCUUUCAGCUGCUUGUGGUGAGAAUUUAGCAUUGCCAUGAUGACGCUCCAAACACACACUGAUCUGAGGAAUGCAUUUGUUGCCUGCACUGUGGUGAUGAACACCAGGAGCCACUAAUGGAUAGAUAAACAGCUGCUAACCCCCAGAGCAAGCCCUGUCCUGAAUACUCACUAACUCCAGGAAUCAUCCAAGUACCUCCUUUCUAACUGCCUGCAGGGGCGCUGUGACUCCAGCCUCUUCUCUCCCUUCAGCGUCAGUCCUAAUCUGAACCAAUGCUUAAUGGCUAUGCUAAUCACCCUGGAAGGACGGUUCUUGGUGUUCUCUCCAGUUAAAUCACUGCCGUGUCCAAAGUCAAUCUUGUGAAGUCAAUAUGAAGUCAAGU